rnacentral:rRNA from 1 species
UACAUAGGUGGCAAGCGUUAUCCGGAUUUACUGGGUGUAGAGGGCGCGUAGGCGGGGGUGCAAGUCAGGUGUGAAAUCUAUGGGCUUAACUCAUAAACUGCACUUGAAACUGUAUCUCUUGAGUGCUGGAGAGGUAGACUGAAUUCCUUGUGUAGCGGUGAAAUGCGUAGAUAUAAGGAAGAACACCAGUGGCGAAGGCGGUCUUCUGGACAGUAACUGACGCUGAGGCGCGAAAGCGUGGGGAGCAAAC